rnacentral:rRNA from 1 species
UACGUAGGGUGCAAGCGUUAAUCGGAAUUACUGGGCGUAAAGCGUGCGCAGGCGGUUAUGUAAGACCGAUGUGAAAUCCCCCGGGCUUAACCACUGGGGAACUGCAUUGGUGACUGCAAGCUUGAGUGUGUCAGAGGAGGGUGGAAUUCCGCGUGUAGCAGUGAAAUGCGUAGAUAUGCGGAGGAACACCGAUGGCGAAGGCAGCCUCCUGGGAUAACACUGACGCUCAUGCACGAAAGCGUGGGGAGCAAACAGG